AUUGAACGCUGGCGGCAGGCUUAACACAUGCAAGUCGAACGAACGGCGGACGGGUGCGUACUUUCUUGAAAACUGCCUGAUGGAGGGAGCUAACUACGGGAAAACGUAGCUAAUACCGCAUACCGUCAUUUGUGCCCAGAUGGGAUGAGCGAGUAGGUGGGGUAAGGGCUGACCUAGGCGACGAUCCCUAGCUGGUCUGAGAGGAUGACCCGCCAUACUGGGACUGAGACACGGGCCAGACUCCUACGGGAGGCAGCAGUGGGGAAUAUUGGACAAUGGGCGAAAGCCUGAUGCAGCAAUGCCGCGUGUGUGAAGAAGGCCUUCGGGUCGUAAAGCACUUGCAGCGAGGAGGCGGUACUCGCAGAAGAAGCAACGGCUAACUCCGUGCCAGCAGCCGCGGUAAUAC
rnacentral:rRNA from 1 species